rnacentral:rRNA from 1 species
ACCUCGCGCUAUUGGAGCAGCCGAUGUCCGAUUAGGUAGUUGGUGGGGUAAAGGCCUACCAAGCCUGCGAUCCGUAACUGGUCUGAGAGGACGACCAGUCACACUGGGACUGAGACACGGCCCAGACUCCUACGGGAGGCAGCAGUGGGGAAUUUUGGACAAUGGGCGCAAGCCUGAUCCAGCAAUGCCGCGUGUGUGAAGAAGGCCUUCGGGUUGUAAAGCACUUUUGUCCGGAAAGAAAUCCGUCUGGCUAAUACCCGGACGGGAUGACGGUACCGGAAGAAUAAGCACCGGCUAACUACGUGCCAGCAGCCGCGGUAAUACGUAGGGUGCGAGCGCUAAUCGGAAUUACUGGGCGUAAAGCGUGCGCAGGCGGCUUUGUAAGACAGAUGUGAAAUCCCCGGGCUCAACCUGGGAACUGCAUUUGUGACUGCAAGGCUAGAGUGCGUCAGAGGGAGGUGGAAUUCCGCGUGUNGCAGUGAAAUGCGUAGAGAUGCGGAGGAACACCGAUGGCGNNGGCAGCCUCCUGGGAUGACACUGACNNCUCAUGCACGAAAGCGUGGGGGAGCAAACAGGAUUAGAUACCCUGGUAGUCCACGCCCUAAACGAUGUCAACUAGUUGUCGGGGAUUCAUUUCCUUGGUAACGCAGCUAACGCGUGAAGUUGACCGCCUGGGGAGUACGGCCGCAAGGUUAAAACUCAAAGGAAUUGACGGGGACCCGCACAAGCGGUGGAUGAUGUGGAUUAAUUCGAUGCAACGCGAAAAACCUUACCUACCCUUGACAUGUACGGAACUUGCCAGAGAUGGCUGGGUGCUCGAAAGAGAGCCGUAACACAGGUGCUGCAUGGCUGUCGUCAGCUCGUGUCGUGAGAUGUUGGGUUAAGUCCCGCAACGAGCGCAACCCUCGCCAUUAGUUGCUACAUUCAGUUGAGCACUCUAAUGGGACUGCCGGUGACAAACCGGAGGAAGGUGGGGAUGACGUCAAGUCCUCAUGGCCCUUAUGGGUAGGGCUUCACACGUCAUACAAUGGUCGGUACAGAGGGUUGCCAAGCCGCGAGGUGGAGCCAAUCCCAGAAAGCCGAUCGUAGUCCGGAUUGUUCUCUGCAACUCGAGAGCAUGAAGUCGGAAUCGCUAGUAAUCGCGGAUCAGCAUGUCGCGGUGAAUACGUUCCCGGGUCU